rnacentral:misc_RNA from 1 species
AAUUUCUCAAGCUUGGAUGGCCUUUUUUGUCUGUCCUUAGCCUUGGUUGUUGGGCUUUGCCGUGUCCUUUAUUGUGGACGGCUGGCCUUAAAAGCAUUAGCUGAUCCUUGUGAGGCACUGGUUCUACUCAGCGUGAUAAUAGUCUGAUCGCUGAGGACAUCUUUUGGGAUGGCCAGUCCUCAUUUGGGUUGCUUAUAAACCUGGUCUUGCAGAUUCUCCAAUCUGUGGUUCCAUUUUUCAG